GACGAACGCUGGCGGCGUGCCUAAUACAUGCAAGUUGAACGCUAAAGCUUUAACUGGUGCUUGCACCGACCUAAGUUUUUAGAGUAGCGGACGGGUGAGUAACACGUGGGUAACCUGCCCAUCAGAGGGGGAUAACACUUGGAAACAGGUGCUAAUACCGCAUAAUUCCUUUACCGCAUGGUAAAAGGCUGAAAGGCGCUUCUGGUGUCACUGAUGGAUGGACCCGCGGUGCAUUAGCUAGUCGGUGGAGUAACGGCCUACCGAGGCGAUGAUGCAUAGCCGACCUGAGAGGGUGAUCGGCCACAUUGGGACUGAGACACGGCCCAAACUCCUACGGGAGGCAGCAGUAGGGAAUCUUCGGCAAUGGACGAAAGUCUGACCGAGCAACGCCGCGUGAGUGAAGAAGGUUUUCGGAUCGUAAAGCUCUGUUGUUAGAGAAGAACAAGUGGAAUAGUAACUGAUUUCACCAUGACGGUAUCUAACCAGAAAGCCACGGCUAACUACGUGCCAGCAGCCGCAGUAAAAC
rnacentral:rRNA from 1 species